rnacentral:sRNA from 1 species
AUGUACCACUCGUACACUCCGGUUCUGAGCGCGCUGUCCGCACCCACCUGACGACUGCUCGCUACGUUUUGUUAGCC